CAGCCGCCGCGGUAAUACGGAGGGUGCAAGCGUUAAUCGGAAUUACUGGGCGUAAAGCGUGCGUAGGCGGUUCGUUAAGUCUGUUGUGAAAGCCCCGGGCUCAACCUGGGAAUGGCAAUGGAUACUGGCGAGCUAGAGUGUGUCAGAGGAUGGUGGAAUUCCCGGUGUAGCGGUGAAAUGCGUAGAGAUCGGGAGGAACAUCAGUGGCGAAGGCGGCCAUCUGGGACAACACUGACGCUGAGGCACGAAAGCGUGGGGAGCAAACAGGAUUAGAUACCCCAGUAGUCCCUGUCUCUUAUAC
rnacentral:rRNA from 1 species